rnacentral:rRNA from 1 species
GAUGAACGCUGGCGGCGUGCCUAAUACAUGCAAGUCGAACGCUGGAAAUCUAGCUUGCUAGCUUGAAGGAGUGGCGAACGGGUGAGUAAUACAUAAGCAACCUACCCACGAAGACUGGGAUAAUCUCUGGAAACGGGGACUAAUACCGGAUAGGUAAUCGGAAGGCAUCUUCUGAUUAUUAAAGGUUAAAAACACUGGUGGAUGGGCUUAUGGCGCAUUAGUUAGUUGGUGAGGUAACGGCCCACCAAGACGAUGAUGCGUAGCCGGCCUGAGAGGGUGAACGGCCACAUUGGGACUGAGACACGGCCCAGACGCCUACGGGAGGCAGCAGUAGGGAAUUUUCGGCAAUGGGGGAAACCCUGACCGAGCAACGCCGCGUGAGUGAUGACGGCCUUCGGGUUGUAAAGCUCUGUUGUAAGGGAAGAACGGUAGAUAGAGAAUAUCUAAAUGACGGUACCCGACCAGAAAGCCACGGCUAACUACGUG